ACCUGCGGAAGGGUCAUUG
rnacentral:rRNA from 1 species